rnacentral:tRNA from 1 species
GACCGCGUAGCUCAGUUGGUAGAGCAUUGGGCUAGUAUGCCAAAGGUUGUAGGUUCGAUUCCCACCGUGGCCA